UGGGGAAUAUUGCACAAUGGGGGAAACCCUGAUGCAGCGACGCCGCGUGAGCGAAGAAGGUUUUCGAAUCGUAAAGCUCUGUCCUAUGAGAAGAUAAUGACGGUAUCAUAGGAGGAAGCCCCGGCUAACUACGUGCCAGCAGCCGCGGUAAUACGUAGGGGGCAAGCGUUAUCCGGAUUCAUUGGGCGUAAAGCGCGCGUAGGCGGUUUGUUAGGUCAGGAGUUAAAUCUGGGGGCUCAACCCCUAUCCGCUCCUGAUACCGGCAGGCUUGAGUCUGGUAGGGGAAGGCGGAAUUCCAAGUGUAGCGGUGAAAUGCGCAGAUAUUUGGAAGAACACCGGUGGCGAAGGCGGCCUUCUGGGCCACGACUGACGCUGAGGCGCGAAAGCUAGGGGAGCGAACAGG
rnacentral:rRNA from 1 species